rnacentral:rRNA from 1 species
GAUGAACGCUGGCGGCGUGCUUAACACAUGCAAGUCGAACGGAAAGGCCGAAGCUUGCUUCGGUACUCGAGUGGCGAACGGGUGAGUAACACGUGGGUGAUCUGCCCUGUACUUCGGGAUAAGCUUGGGAAACUGGGUCUAAUACCGGAUACGACGAUCUCUUGGAUGGGGUUGUGGAAAGCUUUUGCGGUAUGGGAUGAGCUCGCGGCCUAUCAGCUUGUUGGUGGGGUAAUGGCCUACCAAGGCGUCGACGGGUAGCCGGCCUGAGAGGGUGUACGGCCACAUUGGGACUGAGAUACGGCCCAGACUCCUACGGGAGGCAGCAGUGGGGAAUAUUGCACAAUGGGCGCAAGCCUGAUGCAGCGACGCCGCGUGGGGGAUGACGGCCUUCGGGUUGUAAACUCCUUUCGCAAUCGACGAAGCCUUUUGGUGACGGUAGGUUGAGAAGAAGCACCGGCUAACUACGUG